ensembl:lncRNA
UACCCCAUGGCUGAAUUCAAAACUCUUCAGUUCCUCUUCCCCUUGAAACCUCAAAAUGCUUCAGUGAAAGUCAUCUGCGUGUAAAAGUUCGCCGAGGCUUGUUUCGGUCUGUCAGUCAGCUCACCACCAGACUUUUUUUUAAACCGUUGAACUCUAUAUGAGGAACAUGCAAACGCUCAGGCAAGCGUAGUUUGUCAACAUUUCAAGUAUUUGCAUGCAUUUGUUUGCAGUACUUUAGUUUGUACAGUUAGAGUGAAAACCUCACUAGUGAUGGGGAGACCUCUCCCCUCUGGAAUGCUCGUACAUGAGCUCCUAUGCCAGCUAUAAACUUUUAGUUUGUCCUGUUAUCAGGAUGCUGUUGAGCCAAAAUAAAAACAAAAAGUUUGUUGACGUGGUUUAGUUUCAGGUUGAGAUUUCUGUAGAACUUAGGGAACUGAGAAAUCCAAGCAGAGGUCCAAAACAGAGAAGCUGUAUUGAGUCUCAGGUCAGAGCGUCCUGCACAGACCAUGGCCUAUUUUCAUUUCCAGCUGAUUGUCUCAGUCUCAUUUCUGUUGAGCCUUCUAGCAAAGUGCAGUGGUAAGUCACUGGAUCAUUUUCUAUUAUUGGAUAAAGCAACUCAACCUUUGCCAGCUGUUUAAUGUGUCUUCAUGCUGUAACUGUUUGACAGCGGUCUCUGCAAGUUCUGACGUUCGGACAGCAUUUCCAGGGGAAGAGGCAUCUCUCUCCUGCUUGAAUUCAACCCUGGUGGAUAUGAGCACCUACAGAGUCAGAUGGAUGAAGACUGCCGGCAACACAAAUGGUAGCACUAUCUUUGAGUGGCCGAGUGAGUCUCUGCAAACAGAUAAGGUGGUAUGGAAAGCAGAUGGAGAUGGAAAUAUGUGCGUCUUUUUGAAGAACCCGGGCCAGUUGGAUGCUGGGUCAUACAUAGAGGAAGUCUGGAAAGGAUGGAAGCUUAUUGAGAAGAAAUACAUACAGCUAAAAGUCAAAGAUUGCAAAGUCCUUCAGGCUGUGAUGGCUGCACCGGGCUACCCUUUAACGCUCAAGUGUAACCCAAAAUCUGAGUCUUCAAACUUCACCUGGGCAAAGUUAAAGGGACAGGAGCAAGUCUCGAUAAGAGAAAGGAACGAUGGACCCUUGGUUUUCCAGUCUGUGAACACCUCUGACGCUGGCUGGUACAGGUGUACCUACAUGUUGAGCCAACGGCAACAUUGCCACGACAUCAAUUUGCUCAUCCAAGAUAGUUUAGUGAUCACAACCACUGCAGUCGUCAUGGCAACAACCAAUCAAGCAUUGGAGGCCACCCAGCAGGUCCCCUCGUCAACCUCAACUCCAGUUGUGGCUUCAGUAGUUAGUGUGGUGAUAAUGAUUAUUGCUGUACUGACAGCACUGAUCAUCUACUUCAAAUUUCAUACCCAAAAGUCACCAACCCAAUUGACAAGAGCCUAUCCAGCUUACAUGGACACCUAUGAGAAUAUGAGUCUUCCAGAUGUACAGGGUAAGUGCUUUUUACUGUCGUUAUCAACUGAUACUAACUGCUCUUUCAAAAAGGGCAUGGUAGACUAG